GGAGGGAGCGGAUGGGACAGUGGAUGGAGGAUGUGGGGACCCACAUGGAACACCCAGAAAGUCUGAGGGGGCUGAGCUAUUCCAGGAGCUGAUUCCUCACCAAGCCACACUUCAAUUCCCCUGGGUUUCACCCAUGGAUGGAAAUUUGGGAUGCAGAGCCAGCCAGGAGAUCAAAUCUUCAUGAACCUCCACACUUGCAGUCUCUUGUUAUGGAUGAUGAUUAAUUAUUAUCAAUUAUCCUUCCCUUUCCCAAAGAGAUGUGCACUGGUGGAGGCACCGGGAAUGCAGAGAGGAGUUUUCUGCUCAGUGGCAUCACAACUUCCUCCCAAGCUGGAUGUGAGGGGAGAGGAUGGAAAAAAAACAGGCUCAGCAAAAAGCCUGGCAGCUCGCUGAUGUUGGGAGUGACUCAUCCCAUGGAGCAGCCCAGAUGUCAGAGGAAAUAUUGGGAUUCAUCUGAAUUCUCCUGGCUCCCAAGUGGCUCUUUAGAUCCGUGCAGAAUCUAAUUGCUCCAGCGAUCGGCGUUAUCGCAGCCAAGGGCGUGCGGGGAGCAGCCGCAGCCGGCAGGAUCCAUUUGCUUGAGUUAAAAGCUCUGUCAGGGAUUUCAGCCAAUAAAGGGAAUAAUCAAAGACCUGAUGAAAACGA